CAGCCAAUCAGCCCGUCAUAGUUCAUUUUAUUCUAUGGCACCCAGGAAUGGCAUUAUUCACAGCAUUCUCUUCUGCCCUAGACAUCACUGACAUCAACACCCAGCAAGAACCUGCAGCUGAUCACCUCCUGGACCCGGUUUGUCUGUAGCUGAGCCCGUCAGUAUCUCACUCAUCUGUAGGACAGGACCAGACAUUAAUGCCCCUGAUGGUUCCUGACAAGCCAUGACCCAUGGGAGAAGGAGCCUCACACCAGAAGGACCCUCACCAUAGUCCUUUGCAAGACUUGCCUUGCCUCCUUUGUCACACUGUUAUUCUCUGUGAUGGAGACAAAGACACCUGAGAAGGAUCCUGGGAACGUGCCGGAGUUGUGAUUUAUGGGUGUGUCCUUUGCAGCGAUGACUGAAGAUAACUUUUGAGAAGGGAGGUUGUAAGUGUACUGAGUUCACAUCCUCUCCUCUAACAGAUAGUGUCUGCUUGUUUACAUAUCACCCCCAUUUGUCUCCAGCUGUCUCUUAGGAUACAGCUAUGCUGCUCAAAAAAGAAGGCAUGGGAAUGAGCUCAAACACUCAGGCCUAGGCAUUCACACCACGCACUUAUUGGUUCACUUCUUUGCUCUGUUUUGGGUCACUCCAGCCACUCCUCUAACACAAACCUACCACGGAGAGAGAGAGCCCAAGAUGUGUAGACAUGAGCCAGUCAGCACCAACUGGUUUCAGGCCCAAAGACUCUCCCUUUCUCAUUUUAUGGUAUAGAUACAGCUUCAGGCAGUCAGUUCUUGGAAGAGACAGUUGCUGUGUACAGCAAUUAAAACAACCACAUCGUACUACCAAGUCUCUUGGUGCUAUAGUAAUAAAAAUAAUGAGGAUAGUUCCAGCUAGGAAGUGCCUUUCUUCACAGGAUGUUUCACUACCAAUCACUGUUUAUGAACUUGCCUAGCCCAGCUGUUAUAGCACCAAGCAGAAUAGCUGCAGCAUUAAGGAAGUCCAAAAAUCUGGAAACAGAAAGGCCACAACUACAUCUAAAGGCAUUCUUGCCUAUGACUUGGACAACUGUAAACAGUACUUGCCUAACUUACUGGAAUAACUCCUUUGUCUCGAGAUAACAAGUCUCAGGCUCAUAGAAAUUCGUCUGGCUAUCCUGAGGAUCUACAUAAUACUUCAUUUCAUCUUAGCCAAAUUAAUAGAGUUGUAAUAAACUCCAAGACAUUCACCUGCUGAUAUCUCCCAACUUUGAUCUAAGCAAGUUUUACCAACCCAAUCUGUUUUUUGGUGCUAAAUGCAUUAAAAGAAAUACCAAAAUAAAACUGAUCCCAAGAUCCUGAAGGAUCUCAUUAGUAACUUUCUUCGAGGUUGGUAGUGAAUGUCAUCUUCCUCUCAUUAGCUCUACUGCUUUUCACCCUCCUUAUCACUUAGUUCAUGUACUAACCCUUUCUUCAAACCAGUUUCCAAGGCAGCGCUAUACCAUUUUCUUUACUGAAGUCAAAGUAGAUUAGAAAUGCUGCAUUUCUCUUGUCUAUAAAGUUAUUUCCUUUAAUCAAAGAGACUACAUGGUCUCCUUUUGAACUCUCACCGGCCUUUGUGUUCCAUUUUUCAUUUAAAUCCAUACCUUUGCAUACUUUCACUGCUGGGCAGAAGGCUGUCUUGCACAAACUGUACCUGAAGCAGGAACUAUUAAAUACCACUCUGGGCCCUAACCAUGCCUUAUGUACUAACACAGGUGUAGCCAGGGAGGCUGACACUUUCUUACAGACCUAGAACCUCAUGAGCAGCUCAGGCACCAUACAGGUUGCCUUAUAUUCGAGUCAUGGGAAUGUUAAUUUCUCUCAUUUACUAGCCAAAGGACCUAAGGCAUCUUCCUCAGCAUUGUGGAUUUUGUUCCCAGAGCCAAAUUAACUUCCUGGCAUUACAUCCCUGCAUACCCUCUUGGGUCUGGCCCUUGAUCUAAGUGUGAACCAAAUAGUGUGUUUGAUCUCAGCCUCCUACUCUGUACACAGCAGCACUACUUCCUCCUUUUUUAUUUCGUUUCUAUUUAUAUAGAUACCAAACCUUUCAGCAUUUAUCUUCACAGAUCUUUGCAGGGUCUAACGCAGCUUGACUUUUGGCACUUGUUGCUGAGUUCUUACAUUUUCUGACCUUCAAGAUUUAGCUGCCUAGAUUGACUGACCUCUUUAUCCGUUCCCAUAGACUGUUUACACCUAAUAUCCUUUCUUGGGCAAUCAUUCAUCCAGGUAACUCAGAAGAACUUCCUCAUUAGUUUUUCCCUUGCCUAGCAAGCAAAUUCCAGAAAGAUUUUAUACCACUGAUAUAAACUCCUUCAUGUGCAACUCCUGAGCUUGUCAAACCAGUUAAUUCCACUCAGAGCUUUUCUUAAAUUUCUUGACAAUUUCCCUGUGGGGAAAAAAAGAAAUCAGAAAGAUAAAUUUUAUCCUUUUUAUCCCAUUCUACUGAAACACCAUCAACGCCUUGGUCCAAAAUUACUUAGUGUAACCAGGUCUUCUAUAACAUGUUCACUACCAAAACUACACCCAAAAUACAACCCCUUUUUCUUGUGGGGAUAAGCAAGUGUGCUAUCAUAUCUCUUUAUUCUUGAGUUUGCAGCUGGAAUAUUAAGCACUUGCCUACUGUCAAUUGCCGUUAAUAUUUAUUCCUGAUAUUGAAAACACACUAAAGGUUUAGAGUUUUAUAU